rnacentral:rRNA from 1 species
UACGUAGGGGGCGAGCGUUGUCCGGAAUCAUUGGGCGUAAAGCGCGUGUAGGCGGCCCGGUAAGUCCGCUGUGAAAGUCCAGGGCUCAACCCUGGGAUGCCGGUGGAUACUGUCGGGCUCGAGUCCGGAAGAGGCGAGUGGAAUUCCAGGUGUAGCGGUGAAAUGCGUAGAUAUCUGGAGGAACACCGGUGGCGAAGGCGGCAUCCUGGACCAACACUGACGCUGAGUGAGCGAAAGCCAGGGGAGCAAACGGG